GUUCUUAUAGUUGAAGUAACAACGAUAGUUUUUCAGACUGUUGGUCUUAGUUAAAGUCUAAGUAGGAAUA
rnacentral:tRNA from 1 species